AUGGGAACCCUUCUUAGCAGACAGGUUCCACACAGACCACUCUCAUCUUCACUCCAACUGCAGCUGUUGCCACUGUCCAAUCAGAGGCCUCCGUACAGUCCGUCAUCAACCAACAGUCUAAUAGUGCACAGGUGCAGAACCUUGCCAUCCGUAGCCAGCAGGAGGCUCCCUCCUCCUCCUCUCAGCUCCAGGGCCUGUAUCUCAAACAGAUGUCUGGAGAGGCCCAGCUCUCCCUGGCUGGCCAGCUCAGGAGUCCCACCCUGGGGCCACAGGGAGCCCAGCUGGGGCCCCUGUAGGCACCUUCAGAGGGCGGCAGAAGCGUGAGGGCCACAUGGAGCUGAGUGCCCACCUGGUGAGCGUGAGACGCAGUUUGACGGCCGUCAGCAGUCAACCCAGGUACAUAACAUUCAAAGCACCCUGGUCAGGACUUCCAUGCUCAAACGCAUUAUUAGGUUAGCAUAACAGAGAAACACAGGUUUUCAUAAACAUGAUAACUG
rnacentral:lncRNA from 8 species